rnacentral:rRNA from 1 species
GAGUUUGAUCUUGGCUCAGAUUGAACGCUGGCGGCAUGCCUUACACAUGCAAGUCGAACGGCAGCUCGGGAGCUUGCUCCUGGUGGCGAGUGGCGAACGGGUGAGUAAUGCAUCGGAACGUAUCCUGGAGUGGGGGAUAACGUAGCGAAAGUUACGCUAAUACCGCAUAUUCUGUGAGCAGGAAAGCGGGGGACCUUCGGGCCUCGCGCUCUUGGAGCGGCCGAUGUCGGAUUAGCUAGUUGGUGAGGUAAAGGCUCACCAAGGCGACGAUCCGUAGCAGGUCUGAGAGGAUGAUCUGCCACACUGGAACUGAGACACGGUCCAGACUCCUACGGGAGGCAGCAGUGGGAAUUUUGGACAAUGGGGGCAACCCUGAUCCAGCCAUGCCGCGUGAGUGAAGAAGGCC